CACCUUUUGACAUGCCUGGACCGCCACGGAGACGUGGCUUUCCCUUCGGGGACUAGGACACAGGUGCUGCAUGGCUGUCGUCAGCUCGUGUCGUGAGAUGUUGGGUUAAGUCCCGCAACGAGCGCAACCCUCGCCAUUAGUUGCCAUCAUUUAGUUGGGAACUCUAAUGGGACUGCCGGUGCUAAGCCGGAGGAAGGUGGGGAUGACGUCAAGUCCUCAUGGCCCUUACAGGGUGGGCUACACANGUGCUACAGUGGCAAGUACAGAGGGUUAAUCCUUAANAGUUGUCUCAGUUCGGAUUGUCCUCUGCANNUCGAGGGCAUGAAGUUGGANUCGCUAGUANUCGCGGAUCAGCAUGCCGCGGUG
rnacentral:rRNA from 1 species